AACGAACGCUGGCGGCAGGCUUAACACAUGCAAGUCGAACGCCCCGCAAGGGGAGUGGCAGACGGGUGAGUAACGCGUGGGAAUCUACCGUACCCUACGGAAUAGCUCCGGGAAACUGGAAUUAAUACCGUAUACGCCCUACGGGGAAAGAUUAUCGCCAAAGGAGCGGCCCGCGUCAGAUUAGGUAGUUGGUGGGGUAAAGGCCUACCAAGCCUACGAUCUGUAGCUGGUCUGAGAGGAUGAUCAGCCACACUGGGACUGAGACACGGCCCAGACUCCUACGGGAGGCAGCAGUGGGGAAUCUUGGACAAUGGGCGCAAGCCUGAUCCAGCCAUGCCGCGUGGAUGAUGAAGGCCUUAGGGUUGUAAAAUCCUUUCAACGGGGACGAUAAUGACGGUACCCGUAGAAGAAGCCCCGGCUAACUUCGUG
rnacentral:rRNA from 1 species